rnacentral:rRNA from 1 species
UACAGAGGUCUCAAGCGUUGUUCGGAAUCACUGGGCGUAAAGGGUGCGUAGGCGGGUCUUUAAGUCAGGGGGGAAAUCCUGGAGCUCAACUCCAGAACUGCCUUUGAUACUGAGGAUCUUGAGUUCGGGAGAGGUGAGUGGAACUGCGAGUGUAGAGGUGAAAUUCGUAGAUAUUCGCAAGAACACCAGUGGCGAAGGCGGCUCACUGGCCCGAUACUGACGCUGAGGCACGAAAGCGUGGGGAGCAAACAGG